GAGAAGUGCAGCUGUUUUAACUCUGCUUAGAGGGAUCUUCACUCUGAAAGCCCAGGUAGAUUUUCUGGCCACAAACCACAUGUGAAUGUGUUUUCUGGGAGCUGUCAGUGCAGGGGGAGCGAACUCCAGAGUCAUCAGGGCUCAGGUUUGAACCAGCUUUGGUUAAAAGCCAAUGGGGCAGGGCCCAGAUACACCAAGUCUCUCUCUGUCAAAUGUACAGGAGGUUUAAGAACGCUAUUUCAGUAAGACAGGGGCAAAAAAAAAUCAAUGCUUUGAGUGGGCA
rnacentral:lncRNA from 1 species